rnacentral:rRNA from 1 species
CCUACGGGGCGCAGCAGUGAGGAAUAUUGGUCAAUGGGCUUACGCCUGAACCAGCCAAGUCGCGUGAGGGAAGACUGCCCUAUGGGUUGUAAACCUCUUUUGUCAGGGAGCAAUUGGCGCUACGUGUAGCGUUAUCGAGAGUACCUGAAGAAAAAGCAUCGGCUAACUCCGUGCCAGCAGCCGCGGUAAUACGGAGGAUGCGAGCGUUAUCCGGAUUUAUUGGGUUUAAAGGGUGCGUAGGCGGGUUAUCAAGUCAGCGGUAAAAUCGUGGAGCUCAACUCCAUCCAGCCGUUGAAACUGAUGAU